rnacentral:rRNA from 1 species
UACGUAGGGUGCAAGCGUUGUUCGGAAUUACUGGGUGUAAAGGGUUCGUAGGCGGUGCGGCAAGUUGGGAGUGAAAUCUCUGGGCUUAACCCAGAGGCUGCUUCCAAAACUGCUGUGCUUGAGUGUGGGAGAGGCGCGUGGAAUUGCAGGUGUAGCGGUGAAAUGCGUAGAUAUCUGCAGGAACACCCGUGGCGAAAGCGGCGCGCUGGACCACUACUGACGCUGAGGAACGAAAGCUAGGGGAGCAAACAGG